GCAAACUUGGUCAUUUAGAGGAAGUAAAAGUCGUAACAAGGUUUCCGUAGGUGAACCUGCGGAAGGAUCAUUAUCGAUUCAACAACAAAUGGGGAGGGGAUCUGUCCGUGGUUGUUGCUGGCCUCCGGGCAUGUGCACACCUAGACUCUUCCCUUUCUUCAUUUACACACCUGUGAACCUGUUGUAGGGUGCCUUAGCGGGUGCUCUAUGUUUUUCAUAUACACCACUGCAUGUUGAUAGAAUGUAUCUUUUUGAUCUCGUCAGAGACAAAAAUAAAAGCCUUUAUAACUUUCAGCAACGGAUCUCUUGGCUCUCGCAUCGAUGAAGAACGCAGC
rnacentral:misc_RNA from 1 species